rnacentral:rRNA from 1 species
AGAGCGAACGCUGGCGGCAGGCUUAACACAUGCAAGUCGAGCGCCCCGCAAGGGGAGCGGCAGACGGGUGAGUAACGCGUGGGAACGUACCUUUUGGUUCGGAACAACACAGGGAAACUUGUGCUAAUACCGGAUAAGCCCUUACGGGGAAAGAUUUAUCGCCGAAAGAUCGGCCCGCGUCUGAUUAGCUAGUUGGUGAGGUAACGGCUCACCAAGGCGACGAUCAGUAGCUGGUCUGAGAGGAUGAUCAGCCACAUUGGGACUGAGACACGGCCCAAACUCCUACGGGAGGCAGCAGUGGGGAAUAUUGGACAAUGGGCGCAAGCCUGAUCCAGCCAUGCCGCGUGAGUGAUGAAGGCCCUAGGGUUGUAAAGCUUCUUUUAACGGGGAAGAUAAUGACGGUACCCGUAGAAUAAGCCCGGCUAACUUCGCGCCAGCAGCCGC